CGACGGACAACAAAUUAGUAUUAAUUUAAAAUAUUUUUGAAUCUAGAUACAAGUUGGCCUGAGAAAAUUUAUACUAGUAAUAAUUUUCCAUUUGAUACUCUGAAUAUUUAUUAUAGAUAGCCUGUAACACAAGUUGGCCUGCGAAAAUAGAUGAAUCAGAGAUUCGGCGGCGGGAAGCAGCCGACGGGAACUCCAUCGUUGGCAUGGUCGUCCGUCGUCGUCGUGGCGUCGCUACUCGCCGGCGCUUCGAUUGUGCACAACAUUUACAAGCCUAAUCUGAAAAUCCCUCCAACGGCAGACGUUGAUGAGCAUAAGCAAGAAGAACAGCAGAAGGUAUAAACCAUGCUUUCAAGACUGAUCUUUUUUUUUUUUUUUUUUUUAUGUGGGUUUCAGAAUAAUAUAAGUUGGAGGUGGCUCAAACGCUAAAGAAUUUUUCUUGAAGAUUUCGUCUUGACUAUCCAUGACUGAAUGUGUUUGAUUUUUCAGCUAAUUCAUAGCAGAAACAAUUAAUGAAACGUUUAUGAUUA